UAAGGAAGACAUGAAACUUUCUAAGCUUCCUGGCAAGGAAAGGAAGAAUUCAAAAUGUGACUCUCAUCUUUUCCUUCUCCUCCUCAGACUGCCAAGCCCCAACCCCCCACCCCACCAACCCUUCUCUCCUUCACAGAAACUUUUCCUCCGAAUGAAGUGCUUGCUGAAUGAGGAAUGAGCCUUUCCAACGUGUAAUACUCAGUUGAUGUUUGCCAUUUUGGAAUAUCCCACUGCCAGAAGACUGUACUGGUUCAUCAUGUCAUCUUUCUGCUCAUGUGUGGCUCUGAAGACUUAGUGAAGGAUUACUGAUGGGAAAGGGCUGAAUCACUGUUCACAGCUCCUAACAGCUCCUUCCAGCUCCUUCCAGGCACAGCAUUCAGAGAGAAGAUGGGCUCCUGAGAGCAGCCCCGAGGUUUACCUGGGUCCUAGCACUUCUUCAUGGGACACGCCCAUCAACACCAAGACAUUCUCUUCCCCUUUCAGCAUCAAAGAGCUAAAGGCUGAUGUUCUGAGGUUCCUGAAGUUUUUGCAUUUAGCCCUGGUUCCAGCCCAGGUGGGGACUGCACAGAUUCCCAGGUCCUGCAGAAGCGAGGCUGCAUCUGAGGUCCAGGCGAGAACUUUGCUUGAAUCCACAAGAGUGAUGCACAGAGGACUGGGGGCCCGGGGGCCAAGGUUCUCAGCCUCCCUGCCCAUCUGACACGUGAGCCUAUACGAGGUGCUCUUGGAAGCUCUCUGCCACCUGUCCACAGUGUGAACCAUAGGGUGGUGGAAAUAGGCGAUCUCCAGCAGCCUUUCUGCCUAAAGCGGUCUGUUUCAUUCAUUCUCAGAGUGUGACUAAUAAUAAGAGCAAACCCUUGCCACGUGCCAGACACAGUUCUAAAUGCUUUACAUAGAAAACCCAUUUAAUCUGCAAAACAGCCCUGUGAGGUAGUAGGUUCUGUCAUCAUCAUCAUUCUUUUGUGUGUCUGCGAGUGUGUUUUAACUUAUUUUGAAAUAAUUUCAAACUCACAGGACAUUUGCAAAAUAAUGCAAAACCCGUAGAGAGAAUUCCAACAUAGCCCCCACCCAGAUACCCAGA